rnacentral:tRNA from 1 species
GCCAGCAUGGCGCAACUGGUAGCGCACCUGUCUUGUAAACAGGGGGUUGUGGGUUCGAGUCCCACUGCUGGCUCCG